rnacentral:rRNA from 1 species
AACGAACGCUGGCGGCAGGCUUAACACAUGCAAGUCGAGCGCCCCGCAAGGGGAGCGGCAGACGGGUGAGUAACGCGUGGGAACGUACCCUUCUCUGCGGAAUAGCUCCGGGAAACUGGAAUUAAUACCGCAUACGCCCUUUGGGGGAAAGAUUUAUCGGGGAAGGAUCGGCCCGCGUUGGAUUAGCUAGUUGGUGGGGUAAAGGCCUACCAAGGCGACGAUCCAUAGCUGGUCUGAGAGAAUGAUCAGCCACAUUGGGACUGAGACACGGCCCAAACUCCUACGGGAGGCAGCAGUGGGGAAUAUUGGACAAUGGGGGCAACCCUGAUCUAGCCAUGCCGCGUGAGUGAUGAAGGCCUUAGGGUUGUACAGCUCUUUCACCGGUGAAGAUAAUGACGGUAACCGGAGAAGAAGCCCCGGCUAACUUCGUGCCAGCCGCCGCUGUAA